AACGAACGCUGGCGGCGUGCCUAACACAUGCAAGUCGAGCGCGAAAGGAGCAAUCCGAGUAGAGCGGCGCACGGGUGCGUAACACGUGGAUAAUCUGCCUCAGGGUCGAGGAUAACCUUCCGAAAGGUUGGCUAAUACUCGGUAAGCUUACGGUGACUUCGGUCGCUGUGAGAAAACUAGACCUCUAUUUAUAAGUUUAGGCCCAGAGAUGAGUCCGAGGCCCAUCAGAUAGUUGGCGGGGUAACGGCCCACCAAGGCUACGACGGGUAGCUGGUCUGAGAGGACGAUCAGCCACACUGGAACUGAGACACGGUCCAGACUCCUACGGGAGGCAGCAGUGGGGAAUUUUCCACAAUGGGCGAAAGCCUGAUGGAGCAACGCCGCGUGUGUGAUGAAGGUCUUCGGAUCGUAAAGCACUUUCGACUGGGACGAAAAACCUUUGGCUAACAUCCAGGGGCCUGACGGUACCAGGAGAAGAAGCACCGGCUAACUCUGUGCCAGCCGCCGCAGUAAGAC
rnacentral:rRNA from 1 species